rnacentral:rRNA from 1 species
GGGUCAGUAGGUUGGUCGUGCCACCGGUACGUACUGGUCUCACUGAAUCCUCCUUCCUGAAGAACCGUAAUGCCAUUAAUUUGGUGUUGCGGGGAAACAGGACUGUUACUUUGAAAAAUUAGAGUGUUUAAAGCAAGCUAACGCUUGAAUACAUUAGCAUGGAAUAAUGAAAUAGGACGAUCGAUCCUAUUUUGUUGGUUUCUAGGAUUGACGUA